rnacentral:rRNA from 1 species
UACGAAGGGGGCUAGCGUUGCUCGGAAUCACUGGGCGUAAAGCGCACGUAGGCGGCUUGUUAAGUCGGGGGUGAAAUCCCGGAGCUCAACUCCAGAACUGCCUUUGAUACUGGCGAUCUCGAGUCCGGGAGAGGUGAGUGGAACUCCGAGUGUAGAGGUGAAAUUCGUAGAUAUUCGGCAAGAACACCAGUGGCGAAGGCGGCUCACUGGCCCGGUACUGACGCUGAGUGCGAAAGCGUGGGGAGCAAACAGG